rnacentral:rRNA from 1 species
GAUGAACGCUGGCGGCGUGCCUAAUACAUGCAAGUCGAGCGAACGGACGAGAAGCUUGCUUCUCUGAUGUUAGCGGCGGACGGGUGAGUAACACGUGGAUAACCUACCUAUAAGACUGGGAUAACUUCGGGAAACCGGAGCUAAUACCGGAUAAUAUUUUGUACCGCAUGGUUCAAAAGUGAAAGACGGUCUUGCUGUCACUUAUAGAUGGAUCCGCGCUGCAUUAGCUAGUUGGUAAGGUAACGGCUUACCAAGGCAACGAUGCAUAGCCGACCUGAGAGGGUGAUCGGCCACACUGGAACUGAGACACGGUCCAGACUCCUACGGGAGGCAGCAGUAGGGAAUCUUCCGCAAUGGGCGAAAGCCUGACGGAGCAACGCCGCGUGAGUGAUGAAGGUCUUCGGAUCGUAAAACUCUGUUAUUAGGGAAGAACAUAUGCGUAAGUAACUGUGCACAUCUUGACGGUACCUAAUCAGAAAGCCACGGCUAACUACGUG